rnacentral:tRNA from 1 species
GGGGGUAUAGCUCAGUGGUAGAGCACAUGCUUAGCAUGCACAAGGUCCUGGGUUUAAUCCCAAGUACCUCCA